rnacentral:rRNA from 1 species
GCAGUGAGGAAUAUUGGACAAUGGGUGAGAGCCUGAUCCAGCCAUCCCGCGUGAAGGACGACGGCCCUAUGGGUUGUAAACUUCUUUUGUAUAGGGAUAAACCCAGAUACGUGUAUCUGGCUGAAGGUACUAUACGAAUAAGCACCGGCUAACUCCGUGCCAGCAGCCGCGGUAAUACGGAGGGUGCAAGCGUUAUCCGGAUUUAUUGGGUUUAAAGGGUCCGUAGGCGGACUCGUAAGUCAGUGGUGAAAUCUCAUAGCUUAACUAUGAAACUGCCAUUGAUACUGCGGGUCUUGAGUAAGGUAGAGGUAGCUGGAAUAAGUAGUGUAGCGGUGAAAUGCAUAGAUAUUACUUAGAACACCAAUUGCGAAGGCAGGUUACCAUGUCUUAACUGACGCUGAUGGACGAAAGCGUGGGGAGCGAACAGGAUUAGA